rfam:Asian citrus Psyllid, Diaphorina citri - Florida Strain, whole genome shotgun sequence.
GCCAGCGGCGAUAGGACGUUGAAUACACCAGUUCCCCGUGGAUCACUGAAGUUGAAGCAACGUUGUGCGUGGUUAGUGUCCGGAUAGGUGACUAUCUGGGCAAUCGCGUGAUGCUGGCC